UACAGAGGGUGCAAGCGUUGUUCGGAAUUAUUGGGCGUAAAGGGCGUGUAGGCGGUUUGCUAAGUCAUGUGUGAAAUCCCCCGGCUUAACCGAGGAACGACGCAUGAUACUGGCAAGCUAGAGUACCAAAGAGGGGGGUGGAAUUCCCGGUGUAGCGGUGAAAUGCGUAGAUAUCUGGAGGAACACCGGUGGCGAAGGCGGCAUCCUGGACCGGUAUUGACGCUGAGGCGCGAAAGCCAGGGGAGCAAAGCGGG
rnacentral:rRNA from 1 species